CCUACGGGAGGCAGCAGUGAGGAAUAUUGGUCAAUGGGCGGAAGCCUGAACCAGCCAAGUCGCGUGAGGGAAGACGGCCCUACGGGUCGUAAACCUCUUUUGCCGGGGAGCAAGGGCCGGGACGCGUCCCGCCUCGGAGAUUACCCGGAGAAAAGGCAUCGCCUAACUCCGUCCCAGCAGCCGCGGUAAUACGGGGGAUGCGAGGGUUAUCGGGAUUUUUUGGGUUUAAAGGGUGCGUAGGCGGGCUCUUAAGUCGGCGGUAAAUAUUCGGGGCUCAACCCCGUCCGGCCGUUGAAACUGGGGGCCGUGAGUGGGCGAGAAGGAGGCGGAAUGCGUGGUGUAGCGGUGAAAUGCAUAGAUAUCACGCAGAACCCCGAUUGCGAAGGCAGCCUUCCGGCGCCCAACUGACGCUGAGGCACGAAAGUGUGGGUAUCAAACAGGAUUAGAUACCCCAGUAGUC
rnacentral:rRNA from 1 species